UACAGAGGUCCCAAGCGUUGUUCGGAUUUACUGGGCGUAAAGGGUGCGUAGGCGGCCAAAAAAGUCUGAUGUGAAAUCUUGGAGCUCAACUCCGAAACUGCAUUGGAUACUAAUUGGCUUGAGAAACGGAGGGGAGAUUGGAAUUCUCGGUGUAGCAGUGAAAUGCGUAGAUAUCGAGAGGAACACCAGUGGCGAAGGCGAAUCUCUGGACGUUUUCUGACGCUGAGGCACGAAAGCCAAGGGAGCAAACGGG
rnacentral:rRNA from 1 species